rnacentral:rRNA from 1 species
AUGGACUCCGCCGCCGCCGUGACCGUGGACGUCAAGCAGGAGGAGCCCGAGAUGGUGGUGCUGGACGACGACGACGGCGACGCGGGCUGCUGCCUGGCGCCGACGCCGCUGGACCUGUCGGCGCCCGCGGCGGUGCCGCCGUUCCUGGCCAAGACGUUCGACAUGGUGGAGGACCCGGCGACGGACGCGGUGGUGUCGUGGGGCGCGGCGCGGAACAGCUUCGUGGUGUGGGAUCCCCACGCCUUCGCCGCCCGCCUCCUCCCGCUGCACUUCAAGCACGCCAACUUCUCCAGCUUCCUCCGGCAGCUCAACACCUACAGAUUCCGUAAGGUGAACCCGGACAGGUGGGAGUUCGCCAACACGGGCUUCCUCGGCGGGCAGCGCCACCUCCUCGCCGGCAUCCGUCGCCGCCGCGGCGCCGACACCGGCCGCCGUCCCGCUGCGGCAUUGUCGCCGUCGUCGUCGUGCGCGGAGGGCGCCGGCGGCUUCGGCCCAGUGGAGGGGGAGCUGGAGCGGCUGCGGCGGGACCGGGAGGCGCUGAAGCGGGAGCUGGCCGGGCUCAAGCGGCAGCAGGAGGAGGCGCGCGCGACGCUGCUCGACAUGGAGCGCCGCGUGGAGGGCACGGAGCGGCGGCAGGAGCAGUGCAAGGCCUUCCUCGCGCGCGCCGUCAGGAGCCCGGCCUUCCUGGCCAACCUGGCGCGCCGCAACGGCCUCAGCGCGGCGGCUCCGGCGUCCGUCAUCGACGGCAAGAAGAAGCGGCGGCUUCUCAACGCCAACUCUUCGCCGCCGCCCGCGGAGGACGGGUUCACAUUCGAGGAGCUGGCACUGGCGGCCGGCGUCGUCGAGGAAGCGGCCGCGCCGACCCGGAGCGGCGUCACGACGGACAUGAUCUGGUACGAGCUGCUCGAGGAGGGGCAGGCGGAGAUAGACGUGGAGGUGGAGGAGCUCGUGGCCGCCGCGGGGGACAUGGAGCCGUGGGAGUUCGGCGAGGAGGAGGAUCCGGAUGAUGGAGUCUGUGGGGAUGCAAGGUGUGGAAGGGAGCGACAGUCAGUACGCUCCGGAAGUUCAGAUGCCUAG